rnacentral:rRNA from 1 species
GCUUACGGCCACACCUACCUCAGCACGCCCGAUCUCGUCUGAUCUCGGAAGCUAAGCAGGGUCUGGCCCGGUUAGUACUUGGAUGGGAGACCGCCUGGGAAUACCAGGUGCUGUAAGCC